rnacentral:lncRNA from 1 species
UGUGUGUGUGCGCUCGCGCGUAUUAGUUAGUGUUAGCUAUGCAUCGAUUAGAAACAACAACAACUACCCAAUAAAAUCCCACAAGUGAGGUCUGGGGAGGGUAGCAUGUACGCAGACCUUAUCCCUAUCCCGAAGGAGUAGAGAGACUGUUUUCGGAAGACCAUCGGCUCAAGAUAAUAAGAAAAACAAAAAGAAGAGAAUAUUAGUUUCACCACAGAGAUCAUAGGAAAAAUAGGAACAUAUGCAGAAGGAAUAAUCCAAAACAAAAAUGAUGGCUAGUAAAUAGACCCUGCACCAAAAAGAGAAGACACGACAAUGCCCCUAGCUAUUUCAGACAAGAAACCCUACUAGACUAGGCUCACAACAGUACAAGGUAACGGAAGAAUCAACUACCUCCUAGCCUACAACCGUAAUACUCGACCUCCACAACUUCCUAUCAAGUGUCAUGCUCUCGAAACUCUAAAGCCUCACCAUAUCAUGCCUGAUCGCUUCUCCCCGAUACUUUUUAGACAACCCUCUACCUCUUCUCGUGCCCUCCACAACCAGCCACUCACCACCUCCUUAUUGGAGCAUUUGGGCUUCUUCUAUGUGCAUGUCCGAACCAUAUGAGCGUCGCUUCCCGCAUCUUGUCAUCAAUGAGAGCCACAUGAUCCUUCUCUCGAAUAUCAUCAUUUCUAAUCUUGUCCAUCCUAGUGCGCCCGCACAUCUACCUCAACAUCCUCAUUUCUGCUACUUUCAUCUUUUAGAUAUGUGAGUUCUUAACAAACCAACACUCAACCCAUACAUCAUGGCCGGUCUAACCACCAUUUUAUAGAACUUACCUUUGAGUAUCGUUGGUACUAUUUUGUCACACAAAAUUUCGGAUGCUAACCUCCACUUCAUCCAUCCUAUCCCAAUACGAUGUGUGACAUCCUCAUCGAUCUCCCCUCACCCCGUGGAGAACCGACCUAAGGUACUUGAAGUUUCCUCUACUUGGGACAACCUUUCAUUCAAACCUCACAUUCACGCCCACUUCCCUCGGCUCAGUGCUGAACUUACACUCCAGGUAUUCCGUCUUCUUUCUACUCAGCUUGAAACCUUUCGACUCAAGAGUCUGUCUCCAAACUUCUAGUCUCUCGUUAACACUAGCUCAUAACUCAUCAAUAAGAAUUAUGUCAUCGGCAAAUAGCAUGCACCAUGGCACCCCCCUUGAAUAUGAUUUGCUAAUGCAUCCAUCACCAGGGCGAAUAAGAAUAAACUGAGCGUAGAGGCUUGUAACCCCAUUACAACCGAAAAAUGCUCAGAGUCACCUCCUACUAUUCUAACCCGAGUCUUAGCCCCAUCAUACAUGUCCCUAAUCGCCAUAAUAUAGGCAACCGGCAUACUUUUUGUCUCCAAGCAUCUCCAGAGAACUUCUUUAGGAACUUUAUUAUACGCUUUCUCUAGGUCAAUAAACACCAUGUGCAGAUCCUUCUUUC